ensembl:snRNA U6 U6 spliceosomal RNA
GUGCUCUUUUUGGCACCAUGUAGGUUAAAAAUUGGAACAAUCAAGAGAUUACCAUGGCCUGUGCCAAGGAUGACAUGCAAAUUCAUGAAAUAUUCCAUAUUUUA